rnacentral:tRNA from 1 species
GCCUGGGUGGCACAGCGGUUGAGCGUCUGCCUUCGGCUCAGGGCGUGAUCCCGGUGUUGUGGGAUCGAGUCCCACAUCGGGCU